GACGAACGCUGGCGGCGUGCUUAACACAUGCAAGUCGAACGGAAAGGCCCUGCUUUUGUGGGGUGCUCGAGUGGCGAACGGGUGAGUAACACGUGAGUAACCUGCCCUUGACUUUGGGAUAACUUCGGGAAACUGGGGCUAAUACCGGAUAGGAGCUCCUGCUGCAUGGUGGGGGUGGAAAGUUUCGGCGGUUGGGGAUGGACUCGCGGCUUAUCAGCUUGUUGGUGGGGUAGUGGCUUACCAAGGCUUUGACGGGUAGCCGGCCUGAGAGGGUGACCGGCCACAUUGGGACUGAGAUACGGCCCAGACUCCUACGGGAGGCAGCAGUGGGGAAUAUUGCACAAUGGGCGGAAGCCUGAUGCAGCAACGCCGCGUGCGGGAUGACGGCCUUCGGGUUGUAAACCGCUUUCGCCUGUGACGAAGCGUGAGUGACGGUAAUGGGUAAAGAAGCACCGGCUAACUACGUG
rnacentral:rRNA from 1 species